GAUGAACGCUGGCGGCGUGCCUAAUACAUGCAAGUCGAGCGAACAGAUGAUGAGCUUGCUCCUCUGACGUUAGCGGCGGACGGGUGAGUAACACGUGUAUAACCUACCUGUAAGACUGAUAUAACUUCGGGAAACCGGAUCUAAUACCGGAUAAUAUAUUGAAGCGCAUUGGUCGAUGGUAAAAGACGGUGUUGCUGUCACUUAUAGAUGGAUCCGCGCCGCAUUAGCUAGUUGUUAAGGUAACGGCUUACCACGGCAACGAGGCGUAGACGAACUGACAGGGUGAUAGGCCACAUGGGAGCGUGACCACGGUCAAGACUACUACGGGAGGGAGCAGUAGGGAAUGUGCCGCAAUGGGCGAGAGCAUGACGGAGCAAGGGGACGUGAGUGAUGGCGGUCUUCGGAUCGUAAAAAUCUGUUACUAGGGAAGAACAAAUGUGUAAGUAAAUAUGCACGUAUUGACGGUAACUAAUAAGAAAGCAACGGCUAACUACGUG
rnacentral:rRNA from 1 species